UGUGCUACCGAGAUUUGAUAACAAAUCCCGCGAUAUGAUUGAUUAUCUCGCGAUAAAGCAACCAGGCAGCCAAUUUCCUGUUUUUUUCUUUUUCUUCAACCACGACGAGGCGAGAAGGACUUGAUGAUCGGGGGCAAUUUGUUGUACAAAAAGUUGACGAACUACUACAAAUCUGCUGUUUGGUGAGGUAAUGCACAAUGAAAAUAGGCACACAUCUGGAUGGAGACUAUCUGAUUCCUCAACCAUGGCCUCAGCUUUAAAUUCACCAGUUCCAAAUUCUGCAUUAUCAUCCCAGUCCCAGAGGACACCCCAUUAAUUUCCUAAUGUUGUCUUGCCUCUUGACCGCUGCAUUCGGGAGAGAACACAGAAGUGAGGAAUCAUGUCAAAUGCCUUAAUGGUGAGGGGUGGUGGCCAAAUUGAUAAGAUGCUUUUCCACGCAACACCU